GCUAACUACGUGCCAGCAGCCGCGGUAAUACGUAGGGCGCAAGCUUAUCCGGAAUUAUUGGGCGUAAAGAGCUCGUAGCGGUUUGUCGCGUCUGCCGUGAAAGUCCGGGGCUCAACUCCGGAUCUGCGGUGGGUACGGGCAGACUAGAGUGAUGUAGGGGAGACUGGAAUUCCUGGUGUAGCGGUGAAAUGCGCAGAUAUCAGGAGGAACACCGAUGGCGAAGGCAGGUCUCUGGGCAUUAACUGACGCUGAGAGCGAAAGCAUGGGGAGCGAACAGGAUUAGAUACCCUGGUAGUCCAUGCCGUAAACGUUGGGCACUAGGUGUGGGGGACUUCCACGUUUUCCGCGCCGUAGCUAACGCAUUAAGUGCCCCGCCUGGGGAGUACGGCCGCAAGGCUAAAACUCAAAGGAAUUGACGGGGGCCCGCACAACGGCGGAGCAUGCGGAUUAAUUCGAUGCAACGCGAAGAACCUUACCAAGGCUUGACAU
rnacentral:rRNA from 1 species